rnacentral:rRNA from 1 species
AGCGAACGCUGGCGGCAGGCCUAACACAUGCAAGUCGAACGAACUCUUCGGAGUUAGUGGCGGACGGGUGAGUAACACGUGGGAACGUGCCUUUAGGUUCGGAAUAACUCAGGGAAACUUGUGCUAAUACCGAAUGUGCCCUUCGGGGGAAAGAUUUAUCGCCUUUAGAGCGGCCCGCGUCUGAUUAGCUAGUUGGUGAGGUAAAGGCUCACCAAGGCGACGAUCAGUAGCUGGUCUGAGAGGAUGAUCAGCCACAUUGGGACUGAGACACGGCCCAAACUCCUACNNNNGGCAGCAGUGGGGANUCUUGCGCAAUGGGCGAAAGCCUGACGCAGCCAUGCCGCGUGAAUGAUGAAGGUCUUAGGAUUGUAAAAUUCUUUCACCGGNGACGAUAAUGACGGUACCCGGAGAAGAAGCCCCGGCUAACUUCGUGCCAGCCGCCGCCGUAA